CCACCCCCAGCCUGGCCCUGUUGGUUGCCACCUGUAUCUCCAGUCUACUAGGGGCAGAGGGAGGGAGGGAUGUGAACAAGCCAUGGCUCCUCACGGCCUGGCAUAGGGAAGCUCUCUGUCCUGGCCUGUUUGUCUGAAAUGAACCUAGUACAGUAUGUGUGUGAGGGGUUCUGCAAAUCCCGAGACUUAGACAGUUCAGAAAGCAUUGUGAGCUACUUCUGAGGGAACGGUUCCCAAAAUGGAGCAAUAAGGGUGGUGUGGGCAGCUUCACCUCAGAAUAAGGAGGAUCAGGUGAGGUGUAUGGUCAACCCUCGCAAGGCAGACUGGCUCCAACUGAGCUGUGUCCAGGCUAUUGGGUAGGCGGCCAUGUUUACACACGGCUGUGGGUGACAGAGACCAUGGGAGUUCAGAAUGGGGUCUCUGACUGUAGCCUCGAUGUCGAUGAGCAGAGGAAUGAAUAUGUAGCUCUGGAAAGGUUCUGUGAUCAGUGAUCUGCCCCAGUUGUGGCAUUCCUGUAAAUCUCAGCAAGAGAACUCAGUGAAUGAUGUAUGAGGAUGACCUGCGAUGGUCUUGGUAAAGGGACUCUUCUGCACCUUCUGCGCUUGGGGAAUUUUCAUGCCAUGUCCAUUUGGAAAGCCAGAAACCAAACCUGAAGUCCCCAGGGCCUAUCAGGAGCAGUUACACUCAGCAUCCAGCUAUUCCAAGGUUCUCCCUCCACCUUGGUCAGCCCCUCCCCGCCCCUCUAGAUCAACUGAUGGGUCUAAGUUCCCCAUCAUCUCAAGCUGUCUCCACAUGGCACUGACAUGACCUGGAUACUCUUGAGACCAAUGCUCACAGCAUCUCUACAGUCUGGAUGGUCGUAGAAGGUUCUGGCUUCAAAGGUCCCUUGGCACAGUUAUCAAGGGUCCUGUCCUUCAUCCAAGUAUCAAGAUUCAGGGUAGUGGCAGGGCUCGAAGUAGUGUGUGCACCUGCCAUCCAGUGUGAGCCCAGCGGAAACUGAGAAUUCACCCAUCACUGGGGUCAGGUGCCAUAUGGGUGGCCACCCUCAUGCCUGGCCACCGUCAUCCCCCAGGGCUUGAGGUAAGAGUCAAUAGCAUCAAGUGUCAGGAGACCCUAUCUAUGAAGUGUAGAAUAAGACUUAUUUCCAAGAAUACAAAUCAAGGUUAAGCCCGAACUAGAAACCAGGUGACCUGAGCUGUCUAUGGUGGACCUUGGAGGCAGAAGGCUGAGACCACAAAGUGGAGAGAAGACGGCUGUGUUCAGAAACUCACUCUGGUGCUCAUGGCCUAUUCAAAGGAGGGAAGGAGCGAGUUGCUUCAAUGUCUUGGUUCCCAAGGGCCACGGAGCCACACAGCCCCCAGCAGGCAGAGAGGCAGUCGGGCCUGCCGCGCUCGCUCAGGUCAGCCAACCUGAAGCUGAGGCCUUGGAAGAGUCCGGCUCCACCCAGCAGGUGGGUGUCUCGGCUUUUGUGGGUGGUCCUGAGUCAGAAACUAGUAACCAGAACUGAUGGACCAAGAGAUCCGUCUACAGCUCAGGAAACCUGAUUUCUUCAUGCCCUCCUUGCCCCAAAUUACCUGUAUAUCAUGUCAGCUGAAGGUCAUUUGUCCAACAUCCGUGACGGGGAGGGAUGACACGGGGACUAGGGAUAGGCCAAGCCUUCCUAGCUGGGGUCUGUGUUUCCUGCUUGGAACAGAGGGUGAGAUGGAUCCGGAAAACCACCUCCACAGACAGUUUGGUGUUGAUACUUGAUGUUGCCCAGGCUGGGACCUCAACUUAGUUUGGAAUAAUAAUCAUCUUUCCUGGAGAGGGAGGGGCUGUUUCUGCCUCAUACCAACACCUUAUUCAACACACAACACACACACACACACACACACAGCUGUUGUAAAUGGCUUCCUCUAUCCUGGUCCCUGGAGACCCCUAACUAUCUUCAGAUUACUGAAUGUGGCUGAUGUUACAGAUGUGAACAAGACCAAGAUGUUGGUCCCCUGCUCCACCCAGCAUGUGGACCUCAAAAGACAUUCCUUUACCCCUGGGACUGGAGCAGUGCAGUCCCCCAGGAUGGACAGAUAUGGCUGACCUGAGUCUCUCCUUGAGCCUGGACCUCCUGUAGUUUGUCUAUACCGAGGGGCCCCUGCAACUCAAGAGGCUGUUUCCCUGACCUGUACAUAUGUGGUUGCUGUGGGCGCCCCCUGGCCCUUGUGUCAUAACCACCUGACAUAAUGACUAGUAUCCUGCUGUUUACACCUGAGUGUUAGCUGUAGGCUCCUGUACUGUUUGUGUGCACUUAGGGCUCUGUCCAAUUAAGAAAUAAAUGUGGCUCUCAUGCAACACACAUCCAUUC
rnacentral:lncRNA from 1 species